GAUGAACGCUGGCGGCGUGCUUAACACAUGCAAGUCGAACGGUGAACCCGGAGCUUGCUCUGUGGGAUCAGUGGCGAACGGGUGAGUAACACGUGAGCAACCUGCCCCUGACUCUGGGAUAAGCGCUGGAAACGGCGUCUAAUACUGGAUAUGUGACGUGACCGCAUGGUCUGCGUUUGGAAAGAUUUUUCGGUUGGGGAUGGGCUCGCGGCCUAUCAGCUUGUUGGUGAGGUAAUGGCUCACCACGGCGUCGACGGGUAGCCGGCCUGAGAGGGUGACCGGCCACACUGGGAUUGAGGCACGGCCCAGACUGCUACGGGAGGCAGCAGUGGGGAAUAUUGCACAAUGGGCGAAAGCCUGAUGCAGCAACGCCGCGUGAGGGAUGACGGCCUUCGGGUUGUAAACCUUUUUUAGCAGGGAAGACGCGAAAGUGACGGUACCUGAAGAAAAAGCGCCGGCUAACUACGUG
rnacentral:rRNA from 1 species